rnacentral:tRNA from 1 species
GAAAAAUAAGCUAAAAUUUAAGCUUUUGGAUUCAUAAUUCAAAUAUAGUUAAUCUUUUUUCUAA